GAUAUGAUCGCGUGCAUAUGUCGAACGAAAUUUUUGGAGUUCGUACGAUUAUGUUACGAAUUUUGGAAAUAUGAGAUUCUUUUUAUAAUCUCUUUUCCUCGGAUUCUCUUUUAGAAAUUUCUUUUUCUUCCUUUUCCUUUUCCUUUUCCUUUCCUCCGGGUCUCCUUCCUUCUUUUUCUUUUUCUCUUUUUUUUUCUUCUUUCUCUCUCUCGCUCGACCGAAACCGAAAACAGAGCAAAGGCUCUUCGGUCUCUCUCUACCUCCACCGGCCACCAAACGGCGUCGAACCACUUCCUUUUGCUUCGUCUCAGCCUUGCGCAGCUGCCAGAGGCAGCCUUGCACCGUGACACGGCCACCAGCGGCGGCGGGAAGCUCCGCCCGGUUUGAGCUCGUUUUGGAAACAAGCUUGAUAUCUCAAGCUACCGGUCACCAAUCCUCACCAAAAUCCAUCCACAAGCUCGCCUCAACUUCCUGAAACUCCCAGAAGCAGCCUCACACGGCGGCGUGGCCCGUAGCAGUGGCUGCAAGUCAAACCCAACCAAGAACGAGACCGGAGCUAUCGAUCAAGAUAUCUCGAGCUGUAGUGCAUCGUUUUGAUUGAUUAUUUUUCCAGUGGGUUCCCCUUGAUGUUAUUAACAACUCUCUAGAAGGCAUCGAGGCCUGAAAUUGAAGCUUUGACGUCGAAAUCGAGCCUCGCCGGAUUCUGCAAAAUUCUGGAAUUUUUCCGACCACCGAAGCUUUCGAUCGGUAUAUCUCGAGCUACAGACCAUAUUUUUCUGUGAUUCUUGAACCAGUGAGUUCUUCUUGAGUUUCUUAACAACUAUUCAGAAGGAGUCGAAGCCUUAAAUUGACGUUUUUACGUCGAAUUGGAGCUCGCCGUUUUCUGCAGUUUCUCGCCGGUUUCUGGAAAAUUCCGGCCACCUUCAUACUGUUCAAGGUGAUCGACGGUUUGAUUUGGCGACGAUUCGUGAAAUUGUAUUUUGAGCUGUUAAGAAGACGCAGCGGGAAUUUAGAGCGGGUAAUCCUACAGGACAGGAGAACCAGGACGGUGAUCGUGCGGUUAGAGCAAUGGUUAUAGUUUUACAGCAAUUGUAAUAGUGAGGCGAGUUAAGCUCAUUUGAGCAUUACAAUUUGAUUUGGUGGGAGUGUGCUGUAAUAAAUAACUUGAGGAUUUGGGUUAUUGUAAAUUUGAGAGUUGUGAAGUGUGGUUGUUUGUGAGAAAAAAAUUCAGGAUGUUAGUUGUAAUUUGUUAUUAUUCAUGUUUCGGAUUUGAAUUGAUUAUUCAAAAUUCGGGGCGUGA